GCGGAGGGAUCAUUACUGAGUUUACGCUCUAUAACCCUUUGUGAACAUACCUAUAACUGUUGCUUCGGCGGGUAGGGUCUCCGCGACCCUCCCGGCCUCCCGCCUCCGGGCGGGUCGGCGCCCGCCGGAGGAUAACCAAACUCUGAUUUAACGACGUUUCUUCUGAGUGGUACAAGCAAAUAAUCAAAACUUUUAACAACGGAUCUCUUGGUUCUGGCAUCGAUGAAGAACGCAGCGAAAUGCGAUAAGUAAUGUGAAUUGCAGAAUUCAGUGAAUCAUCGAAUCUUUGAACGCACAUUGCGCCCGCCAGCAUUCUGGCGGGCAUGCCUGUUCGAGCGUCAUUUCAACCCUCAAGCUCUGCUUGGUGUUGGGGCCCUACAGCUGAUGUAGGCCCUCAAAGGUAGUGGCGGACCCUCCCGGAGCCUCCUUUGCGUAGUAACUUUACGUCUCGCACUGGGAUCCGGAGGGACUCUUGCCGUAAAACCCCCCAAUUUUCCAAAGGUUGACCUCGGAUCAGGUAGGAAUACCCGCUGAACUUAAGCAUAUCA
rnacentral:rRNA from 1 species